rfam:Gossypium raimondii Chr09_contig_83, whole genome shotgun sequence.
AAUAGAAGAAUGACAAAUCAAUUUUUUACUCCUGAUUUUCAGUUUUUUCCUCCUUACAAAAUUUAAAUCCAACUAAAAAUGCUAAAAAUCAGGAGAAAAAGUUUGAUUUGUCAUCAUCUUAUU